rnacentral:lncRNA from 1 species
AUGGCCCCGAGGUCCAAAAAGAAGGCGCCCAACGGCCGCACGCACACCCCGCUCGGCCUCCUGGAAACGAUGCCGGUGUCGGCGAGCCCGCGAGGUGUCUGGGAGCUGGGCGCAAGCUGCAGACUUGGAGGCUCUUAUACCUCCCGUGCAAGCGGAAAGUUUGGGGGCAGCAGUGUCAUUGGCCUGACGUGGGGAGGAGGGACUUUUCGAAGUUUUAUAGGAAAGUUUCCGCUUUCCAGCCCCCCUUUCUCCGUCCCCACCCCCCUUCCUCGGGGUCUAACAAUUCGUUCUCCCAAACCAUUCAAAAACGACCUGGCCCAGGCGGCCGGCCCCUCUGCCCGCCUCCUUGCUGCCCUCCCCCUUUCUUCCCCGCCGCCCUCCGCCCGCGGGCGCGGGGCGAUUUCCUUCCGCGCCGGAGCGCGCGGGCCGCACCCCCGCACCCGAGCGCAGCCCGGGGAAGCGACCGGAGGGGACCGUACCCUCCGCCUUGUCGGUCCCUCCUGGAGCGGCUGUGACAGCAGCGGCGACACCGGCUUCUACACAGUGGGUGGAAGUCUCAGCUCGCCCCAGUACCCUUUAGUGACCCAAUCUGACGUUUCCCAACACCCGAAGGACUACACCUCCGAAGGUGCUAGAAAAAUGCUGAAGUUCAUUCCCCCGAAGAAGGCAGUCGUGUUCUUGGAGAAGGCAGCAGGGCAGCGCAGUGUCUUCGCCGCGGCCCUGAUUGCCUGUGCUGCUAGCCCAAGGUGGAGUGCCUGUGGCCACUUCAGCCUCAUCCCCUUCCCAGAUAAGGCCCUUCGUUAUGACUGUAAAUGUCGGCUCUGAGAGAGUGAGAUGGGGACUCAACAUUGCCUGGACACGCGAGGCUGAGGGCUGCGAGGGCCCCCUUCCCCACCCUCACUCUCCACUCCUAGGAGAUUCAGUAAGCAAUUCUGUUUCGCGUGCCACAAACGCGCCGCAAUUAUUUGGACACUUUUACAUUUUAAGCGUUUCUAUUUAAUAAGUCACAAUGAAGAGGCCCAGAAGAAGGUGUUAAUGUAGAUUCUGGCAAGUCGGAAGCAACAAAAGUUGGUGAGCUGGAAAGGAAAGGAUGCUGCUGUGAAAGAGAAGCCCAUUUUUGCAAUGCUAGGCUUUUUUUUUUUUUUAACGAGUCGGGAGAGAAUAACUGUUCUAUGUUCAUUCUUUAAGUUGCAAAGCAAACCAGAAGUCAAAAGCAGUAGUUGGUUUUCGGGGCACAUUUGGGGGUGCAGAAGUUCCGUGCCCUGUGUUCUGGUACCCUGCGCAGGCCGAGGUCUGCUGGACUCUAAGCAGCGAAUUAACUCAGAAGCUUCCUUUUCUGGGCCAGACGGAGGGUCUCGGCCCACAGUGUCCGGAGGAGCAGGCGAGAUCCCAGGCGAGGCGCGGGCAGGCCACGUGGCUGUGGCCCGCUGAGGCUCGCGGCUGCAGUCAGGUCCCAGAAACCCUGGGGUCUGGAGGGCUGGGGGCCGGUUGAAGGGUUCAGCCAAACCCUAGAAAGGGAAGUGAGGACAAGAAGGAUCCAUUCCGCGGAGGGUGAAGGAGGCUAAACUUUCGUGGGAGGGGCGACCUGUAGGGCUCGUCUAUCACUAUUUUUUACAAAUAUUCAUAGACAAUGACCAAAGCGUGCCAACAUGCCUGCUUCUCGGGUCGCUGACAUAUUUUAAAAUGAAUUCCUGUCUGAAAAUCAGAUUCUACUUGACCUCCACUUAAUAGUUUACAGCCGAGUCUUCCUAAAACAAAGCACAUUCAGAUAAGUCACUCCUGUGAGUGCAUCUUCUGCCUACAGGAUAUGAUUUCUUGGAGCAGUUAGAGAAUAGGCAGAAAUUGUUUUCUUAACUUUUGAUCUCUGAGUAUUCCGCAGUUCUUAUUUGAACGUUACCUGUGUCUGUGGGUGGUGGUUGUUGUUUUAAGAUCAAUCUCAAAUGUUAUUUUCUACCCCUUUCAGCUGAAUACUCGAAAAUAAAGAGAUCAAAUAAUUGGACUCUUUCCUUUGU